rnacentral:rRNA from 1 species
ACCGGAUAUGACCACGGGGAGUUUUCGGCUUCUGCGGUGAAAGAUGGCCUCUGCUUUGCAAGCUAUCACUCGAGGAUGGGCCUGCGCACCAUUAGCUAGUUGGUGAGGUAACGGCUCACCAAGGCUACGAUGGUUAGUUGGUCUGAGAGGAUGACCAGCCACACUGGGACUGAGACACGGCCCAGACUCCUACGGGAGGCAGCAGUGGGGAAUAUUGCGCAAUGGGGGGAAACCCUGACGCAGCGACGCCGCGUGGGUGAUGAAGGCCUUCGGGUCGUAAAGCCCUGUCGGAGGGGAAGAAGGAUUGCGGUGCAAAUAGUGCCGUGGUCUGACGGUACCCUUAAAGGAAGCACCGGCUAACUCCGUGCCAGCAGCCGCGGUAA